CUCUAUUGGGAGCGGUACGGCGUUAUGUGAUCUUUAUAACGAAGCGACCUGUAUAACGAAUGAAUUGGGAGGUCCGGAGCUUCUUCAUACUGAUGGGUUUGACUGUAUAUAGCUUAAAUGUAUCGGCACGACUUGCUGCUGUUGAUUUGAUACAAUGUCGUUACUCGUCCCAUUAUAAAGAUAAUGAUUCCGUAUUUCUAUGUUGUAGAAGUAAGGCCUAGAUAUGUCGGUUCAUUGCCACAUGUAUUCGUAAUCUCUGUAAAUCUCUUGCAUUGUCCGCUAGAUAGCAUUAUGUCGUCCGUAUAGAUGGAUAAAAUCAGGGACCCAUACCCAUUUUGCCCAUACGAAUGUAAGACAAAUCAAAACCUAAUUCAUGGUUUUCCACUCGUCUUUCUAUCAAUUCCUUAGCAUAAAUGCUUUGAAUUUUUCGAGAACGGUAGGUUUUGGUUAAAUAGGAACGUUUAUAUUUUGGGGCCACUUUUCUGGCCUUCUCUCCACCAAUACUAUGUAGUACUUGGGUAAUAUACCACCCACAUUAUCUAGCCACUAAAGACUAGUUAUGUGACGUAGCCCGCCGUUCUUGAAUAACAGUGAGCUCAAUAGGGUGUUUUUUUUUUCCUUCCCCAGGCGGCUGUAUAAGCGGGGGUAGAUCUGUCCCAAGUCGCUGUCUGUUUCGAGCAGUCAGCUCGGCCGGACCAGGUCGAUUCGUCCAAUUUGAAAAUGGCUCAAAACUACAAGAGAAAGCGCGAAGACGGCAGUAGCAUUGAGAACGAGGUCCCUCUGCGUUACAUUUCGGGAUAAUU
rnacentral:lncRNA from 1 species